rnacentral:rRNA from 2 species
CACGCCCUAAACGAUGUCAACUGGUUGUUGGGAAUUUAUUUUCUCAGUAACGAAGCUAACGCGUGAAGUUGACCGCCUGGGGAGUACGGCCGCAAGGUUAAAACUCAAAGGAAUUGACGGGGACCCGCACAAGCGGUGGAUGAUGUUCUUUAAUUCGAUGCAACGCGAAAAACCUUACCCACCUUUGACAUGUAUGGAAUCCUUUAGAGAUGAAGGAGUGCUCGAAAGAGAGCCAUAACACAGGUGC